rnacentral:rRNA from 1 species
UACAGAGGUGGCAAGCGUUGUUCGGAAUUACUGGGCGUAAAGGGCGCGUAGGCGGCCUUCUAAGUCAGACGUGAAAUCCCCCGGCUUAACCUGGGAACUGCGUCUGAUACUGGAAGGCUUGAGUGCGGGAGAGGGAUGUGGAAUUCCAGGUGUAGCGGUGAAAUGCGUAGAUAUCUGGAGGAACACCGGUGGCGAAGGCGGCAUCCUGGACCGAGAUUGACGCUGAUGCGCGAAAGCCAGGGGAGCAAACGGG